AGUGAGAGAGAAGGUGAAAAGAGAAAAUCUAGACCUCUCCCCUAAAUCCCAAUGGUGUGUUCCAGCAGAAAUGCCUGACAAUAGCUAGGACUGCACCUGUCUGCUGAGGAGUGUGUCCGCAGCCAGCCCCCCGCGCCCGUCAGAACCCACCUCCAGCACGAUGAUGUCGCUGUGACCCCCGGGGCGCACGAGUGAAGAUGCCGCGCACCAAACAGAACCACCCCAAGAACCUGAAAGGCAAUUAAAACGCCUUGCCCGGCUGACCCGCCCUUCUACACCAUGUGGUUUUGCCCCGACAACAACAACAACAACAACAACA
ensembl:lncRNA